GGUACCACGAUAUAGUAGUUAGCAUCCAGGACUCUGAAUCCUGUGACCCGAGUGCAAAUCUCGGUAUAACCU
rnacentral:tRNA from 1 species